UACGAAGGGGGCUAGCGUUGCUCGGAAUCACUGGGCGUAAAGCGCACGUAGGCGGACUCUUAAGUCAGUGGUGAAAUCCUGGAGCUCAACUCCAGAACUGCCUUUGAUACUGGGAGUCUUGAGUUCGGGAGAGGUGAGUGGAACUGCGAGUGUAGAGGUGAAGUUCGUAGAUAUUCGCAAGAACACCAGUGGCGAAGGCGGCUCACUGGCCCGAUACUGACGCUGAGGUGCGAAAGCGUGGGGAGCAAACAGG
rnacentral:rRNA from 1 species